UUGGCUAGAUUUGUUUUAGCCCGGGUGAUAAAGUUUGGGUAUGAUCAUGUUGGCUUCGGUCGGUGUGGUUCUCUGCCCAAGCGUAUUACCAUGAGCAAAUCAGAAUGCUCAAAGUAGGCCUUCGUGCCUGAAUGUGUUAGCAUGGAAUAAUGAAAUAGGACCCUAGUCUUGUUUUGUUGGUAUACUUGACCUUGGGAAAUGAUGAAUAGGAACGGUUGGGGGCAUUUGUAUUUGGUCGCUAGAGGUGAAAUUCUUGGAUUGACCGAAGACAAACAACUGCGAAAGCAUUUGACCUAGGACGUUUCCAUUGAUCAGGGACUAAAGUUGAGGGAUCGAAGACGAUUAGAUACCGUCGUAGUCUUAACCACAAACUAUGCCGACUAGCGAUUGGAUCCUCGCCACUGGCAGGAUUCAGCAGCUUAGCGAAAGUAAAGUUUUUGGGUUCUGGGGGGAGUAUGGGACGCAAGGCUGAAACUUAAAGGAAUUGACGGAAGGGCACCACCAGGAGUGGAGCCUGCGGCUUAAUUUGACUCAACACGGGGAAACUCACCAGGUCCAGACAUAAUAAGGAUUGACAGAUUGAAAGCUCUUUCUAGAUUUUAUGGGUGGUGGUGCAUGGCCGUUCUUAGUUCGUGGAGUGAUUUGUCUGGUUAAUUCCGAUAACGAACGAGACCUUAUUCUGCUAAUUAGCUGGGCCAACUUUUUAGUUGGUAGUUUCUAGAUUUCGGUCUAGCCAGCUUCUUAGAGAGACUACUGA
rnacentral:rRNA from 1 species